rnacentral:rRNA from 1 species
GCGGCUACUGCUAUCAGGUUUCGACUAAGCCAUGCGAGUCAAGGGGUCGUAAGACACCGGCGUACUGCUCAGUAACACGCGGACAAUCUACCCCCAGGUGGAGGAUAACCUCGGGAAACUGAGGCUAAUACCCCAUAGUUGUCAUGUGCUGGAAUGCUUUGACGAUGAAAGAAUUUCGCCUGAGGAUGAGUCUGCGGCCUAUCAGGUAGUAUGUGGUGUAAAGGACCACAUAGCCUAAGACGGGUACGGGCCUUGAAAGAGGGAGCCCGGAGAUGGACUCUGAGACACUAGUCCAGGCCCUACGGGGCGCAGCAGGCGCGAAAACUGUGCAAUGCGCGCAAGCGCGACACGGGAAGCCUGAGUGCCUUAACUAUGUUAAGGCUUUUCUUGAUCCUAAAAGGCUCAAGGAAUAAGAGCUGGGUAAGACGGGUGCCAGCCGCCGCGGUAACACCCGCGGCUCGAGUGGUAGUCACUUUUAUUGAGCCUAAAGCGUUUGUAGCCGGAUUUGUAAAUCUCUAGGAAAAUACUUCUGCUUAACUGAAGAAAUUUUGGAGAGACUGCAAAUCUAGGGAAGGGGUGAGGUUGAAUGUACUUCUGGGGUAGGGGUAAAAUCCUGUAAUCCGGGAAGGACGACCGGUGGCGAAGGCGUUCAACUAGAACGGAUCCGACGGUGAGGAAGGAAGGCUAGGGGAGCAAACCGGAUUAGAUACCCGGGUAGUCCUAGCUGUAAACACUGCCCACUUGGUGUUGCAUCUCCGGUAAGGGGGUGCAGUGCCGUAGCGAAGGUGUUAAGUGGGCCGCUUGGGGAGUAUGGUCGCAAGGCUGAAACUUAA